UCAAAUGAAAACAAUUAUUAAUGUUAUUGAAGUAUUAAUAAUGUUAUUUCAUAAAAAAAAAAUACAUGCAAGGACCCCAGUCACCUAUUAACCUUUUACCCACGUGACGCGCUUGGUAACUUCUUUCUGCAGACGGCAGGCUGCGGGGUUUGGGUCUGGGCUCUGUAUCGGUAUGUGGGCUCUUUUGUUCCAAAUUCCUAAAAAAAAUAUUUGGUCAUGAAAUCGUCUGGACUCUGGAGGCGCAGACUAGCAUAGAGGGGCUAAACACAGCCCACAUGGUGGAGGAGAAAAGAGCCAUGUGAUGCAGUCCUAAUCAGGAGGAGCAGACAGUUUUAUGUUAAAAUGGAUCCAACUGUGCUGUUCUGAACAGGCCGUCUUCCGUCUGGGCUAAUCAAUAAUCAGUAAUCAAUUAUGGAUAAUUGAAGGAGUCCUGCAGAGUGAAAUUCUGAUUGUAAUAAAAUUGAAUAAACA